rnacentral:rRNA from 1 species
AGAGUUUGAUCAUGGCUCAGAGUGAACGCUGGCGGCGUGCCUAACACAUGCAAGUCGAACGAGAACGGAUUACAGCUUGCUGUAAUUGUCAGCUAAGUGGCGCACGGGUGAGUAAUAUAUAGUUAAUCUGCCCCAAAGAAGAGAAUAAUUGUUGGAAACGACUUGUAAUGCUCUAUAUGCCUUUAUCACAUAAGUGAGCAAGGGAAAUAUUUAUAGCUUUGGGAUGAGACUGUACGGUAUCAGCUAGUUGGUGAGGUAAUGGCUCACCAAGGCAAUGACAUCUAACUGGUUUGAGAGGAGGAUCAGUCACACUGGAACUGAGACACGGUCCAGACUCCUACGGGAGGCAGCAGUGGGGAAUAUUGCACAAUGGAGGGAACUCUGAUGCAGCAACGCCGCGUGGAGGAUGACACAUUUCGGUGCGUAAACUCCUUUUAUAUGAGAAGAUAAUGACGGUAUCAUAUGAAUAAGCACCGGCUAACUCCGUGCCAGCAGCCGCGGUAAUACGGGGGGUGCAAGCGUUACUCGGAAUCACUGGGCGUAAAGAGCAUGUAGGCUGUAGAUUAAGUUGGAAGUGAAAUCCUAUGGCUCAACCAUAGAACUGCUUCCAAAACUGAUUUGCUAGAGUAUGGGAGAGGUAGAUGGAAUUUCUGGUGUAGGGGUAAAAUCCGUAGAGAUC